GCUAAACAAGAUGGCGACCUCCGAGAGGGCUCUCCUGAGGACCAGAGCUGCCUCUCUCCUGAGAGGCUUGGGCAGAUCCCGAACUGGAGCCCGAUCGUUACAGUUUCGCGCAGAAAAAGAGCGUCAGCCUUGCUGGUCUUUUCCCGUGGGGCAGAAGACGAAAGGCAGCUCUAACAUAGCCUCCUCCUACCUGCUCCAGCAGCUCAUGCACCGCUAUCAGGAGCUGGACUCGGACGGAGACGAGGACCAGGGCGAGGGCGAGGCGGGAUCCGAGGAGUCCUCAGAGUCCGAAAUGCUGAAUUUGGAGGAGGAAUUUGAUGGGGUCCUGAGAGAGGAGGCUGUGGCCAAAGCACUCCAUCACUUGGGGCGCUCAGGCUCUGGGACUGAGCAAGUCUACCUCAAUCUAACUUUAUCAGGUUGUAAUUUAAUUGAUGUUAGCAUUCUCUGUGGAUAUGUUCAUCUACAGAAGUUGGAUCUUUCAGCGAAUAAAAUUGAAGCUAAGUACUAGCUGCUGCUUCUGCUUCAAGAAGGAUCUCCAUUUACCUGCCCACAGAAAGAUCAUCUUUCAGGGGAGUCUGGGGGU
rnacentral:sRNA from 1 species